CCUGGGACCCUUCAGUCCACAGGCCAACGCUCUAUCCACUGAGCCAAACCGGCUAGGGCUCGACUUGGCCAACUCUUAAUCUCCAGAGGACAAGGGGCCUUCCCUCAACUUGGCGGCCAGCACCGUGCGGACACUGCACAGCCCAGCAGCAGCAGCGGCAGGGGCUCCAGAGCAGAGCAGCUUUGCUGAGAUGCUGACAUAUAACAUAUAAUGGGUAUGAACCUGCGGCUACUGGAGGCCACAACAAGGAGCCUGAGAAUAAAGCCACUUCUGAAGGAAGGGCUGAGACAUGGAGGGAAGAAGAUUGAUGGCAUUCGAGCCUCUGGAUCCAUCUAUGCUAGAUCCAA